rnacentral:rRNA from 1 species
UACGUAGGGGGCAAGCGUUGUCCGGAAUCAUUGGGCGUAAAGAGCGCGUAGGCGGCCCUGUAAGUCCGCUGUGAAAGUCAAGGGCUCAACCCUUGGAUGCCGGUGGAUACUGCAGGGCUAGAGUCCGGAAGAGGCGAGUGGAAUUCCUGGUGUAGCGGUGAAAUGCGUAGAUAUCUGGAGGAAUACCGGUGGCGAAGGCGGCAUCCUGGACCGGCAUUGACGCUGAGGAGCGAAAGCCAGGGGAGCAAACGGG